AGUGAACGCUGGCGGUAGGCCUAACACAUGCAAGUCGAACGGCAGCACAGUAAGAGCUUGCUCUUACGGGUGGCGAGUGGCGGACGGGUGAGGAAUACAUCGAAAUCUACUUUUUCGUGGGGGAUAACGUAGGGAAACGUACGCUAAUACCGCAUACGACCUACGGGUGAAAGCAGGGGAUCUUCGGACCUUGCGCGAUUGAAUGAGCCGAUGUCGGAUUAGCUAGUUGGCUGGGUAAAGGCCCCCCAAGGCGACGAUCGGUAGCGGGUCUGACAGGAUGAUCAGCCACACUGGAACUGAGAAAGGGCCCAGACUCCGACGGGAGGCAGCAGUGGGGAAUAUUGGACAAUGGGCGCAAGCCUGAUCCAGCCAUACCGCGUGGGUGAAGAAGGCCUUCGGGUUGUAAAGCCCUUUUGUUGGGAAAGAAAAGCAGCAGGUUAAUACCCCGCUGUUCUGACGGUACCCAAAGAAUAAGCACCGGCUAACUUCGUG
rnacentral:rRNA from 1 species